CUGGUCCGAUGGUAGUGAGUUAUCUCAAUU
rnacentral:piRNA from 1 species